UCAAAUCGAAGUAACUCAGAUCAUGUACCUCAAUUUUCAACUCCAUGUAUCUCUCAAUAUACUUGGAGUUAGGAUGAAUUGAGGUCAGAUUCGUGAUCAGUGCCAUUUUUACUUUGAAAUCAUGUCCUUCUUUUUUAUUUUUGUGAUGGUGAUGAGUGAACCAGUCUGGCCAGGGUCGCCUAAGAAGGUAACUGGCGUUUUGCUCCGAUGAUGAGCUAGAAUGGUUCAGAGCCACAUGAU
rnacentral:lncRNA from 1 species